UUUAUGGAGAGUUUGAUCCUAGCUCAGGAUGAACGCUGGCGGCGUGCCUAAUACAUGCAAGUCGAGCGAACGGACGAGAAGCUUGCUU
rnacentral:rRNA from 1 species